AACGAACGCUGGCGGCAGGCCUAACACAUGCAAGUCGAGCGAGGACUUCGGUCCUAGCGGCGGACGGGUGAGUAACGCGUGGGAACGUGCCCUUUGCUUCGGAAUAGCCCUGGGAAACUGGGAGUAAUACCGGAUGAGCCCUUUGGGGGAAAGAUUUAUCGGCGAAGGAUCGGCCCGCGUUGGAUUAGGUAGUUGGUGGGGUAAUGGCCUACCAAGCCGACGAUCCAUAGCUGGUUUGAGAGGAUGAUCAGCCACACUGGGACUGAGACACGGCCCAGACUCCUACGGGAGGCAGCAGUGGGGAAUCUUAGACAAUGGGGGAAACCCUGAUCUAGCCAUGCCGCGUGAGCGAUGAAGGCCUUAGGGUUGUAAAGCUCUUUCAGCUGGGAAGAUAAUGACGGUACCAUCAGAAGAAGCCCCGGCUAACUCCGUG
rnacentral:rRNA from 1 species